AUCAAAGCCGUCUAUAAGUCCCCAAACUCUACGUUUUUUCCUCUCUCUCUCUCACCAUUCCUUCAAUACAACUUUUUUGAGAGAGAGAGAGAGAGAGUAGGGAGGAGACGGAGGAGGAAGAAGAAGAAGAAGAAGAAGACGGACUCUGUUGCUUCUUCAGUUGUGUUUUCCACUGAUGUUCUUAGAUCAACGUAGUGGUACAUAUCAUCAAAAGUACAGGACAAAUGCCAUCAAUAAAAAUGAAGGCCAAGUUAAGCCCGAGCUGUUUAAGAGAAAAACAUUGUCUGCGUGUUUGUCAGAAAUCUAGUGUCAUCUCUAAAAAAGAUUGUACCCGCCUGAGGGGUUCUGAAGAGUCGGAUGAAUUUGAUGGCUGUAUUAAAAAAUGUCUGGAGGCUUCUCUAAACACAGAAUCUUUUAAUAGUAAUAUAAAUCAGAAAGCCAUUAAUCACCACGAAGCCUUUGACGAAGAAACUUCUGAAUUGAAGAGGCACGGAGAAGCUUUUGAGUUGAAGAGGGAAGAACCUUUUUCAGUAAAUGCUGCAGAUAUGAAUGGAAUGGAUUGCACCUCAACCAACUCUUCUGAAAUAGAAGCCAUUUUUUCUCCUAUUUUGAAUAAUGUUGACAUCCAAUGCCAUCCUAUUAUCGAACAUGAUCCAGGGAGCAAACUUGAUAGAGAUAUACCAGGAAUGGAAAUUGAUGAAGGGAAAAAUAGCAGAAGCUCACAUGACAGUCAAACCUGCGACAUAUCAGAUUUUUUUAUUUCUGACAUGAUAGUUGCAAAUUUACCUUUAUGUGAAAAUGAUGACAUUUGUGACAUCAAUUAUUUUCAUGACUACAAAUAUACUCAGUCGAGUGUGUUGUCUGAUGUUGCUGAUCAGUAUAUGAUACUGCCUUUCCUUGAGGACACCAUGAAAUUCAGCAAUUCAGAUGAUGCUAAAUGUUCUGAUGAAUUAGCCAUUGGUUCUGGUAAUUCUAGUUUGUACAGAGUAAUUGAUCAAAGGAAUAAUUUGAGCCUUGAAUUCAGUGUUAGCUCAGAGUCAGAUCAGACAGAGUGUUUUGAUCCCCAGUUGUUCAUAAAAAAUUUACCAGAACUUUCAGAAGUGAUUUCGAAUUUUCAGCCCAGCAUAUUGCCCAAUGAAGAUCGGAAAAGAAAGGCUGUGACUCUUGUACUUGAUUUGGAUGAAACAUUAGUUCACUCUACUUUGGAACCGCAGGAUGAUGCAGACUUCCGCUUUACCGUCUGCUUGAACAUGAAAGAGCACAUUGUAUAUGUUAAACGGAGGCCAUAUCUUCAAAUAUUUCUGGACCGUGUUGCAGAGAUGUUUGAAGUUGCUAUCUUUACAGCCAGUCAAAGUAUUUACGCAGAACAAGUUCUCAACAAACUGGACCCGGAUAAUUGUAUUAUCUCACGACGACUUUAUCGUGAAUCAUGCAUCUUUUCAGACGGAUGUUACACCAAGGAUUUGACAGUUUUAGGCAUUGAUUUAGCAAAAGUUGUCAUUGUAGAUAAUUAUCCACAGGUUUUCCGAUUACAAGUGAACAACGGUAUUCCUAUUAAGAGUUGGAUUGAUGAUCCCUUGGAUUCUGCUUUAAUUUCUUUGCUUCCAUUUUUGGAGACCCUGGUUGAUGUUGAUGACGUGCGCCCUAUUAUUGCCCAGAGAUUCGAAUUUGGAACCUCAGACUUGGAUCUUCUCUUUCUUCCAUCUGAUACUACAUAAGCGUUGUACCUUAUAGAUGGAAAUGGGUGUUGAGAGGGGUGCGGGGGGUUUUACUGAUAGCAAACCAGACUUCCUAUUUGGAAAAUUGAAAAGAAAGAAAACGAAAAAAAUAAAUAAAGAAAGAAAAGAAAAGAAAAGAAAAAAGAAAGGAAGAAAGAAAAACAGAGAGAGGUGCGGGAUCCAGCCUGAUCAAGGCUUUCUAUGUAAAUUGGUACCAACUUGCCUAGCAGCACUUCCUGGGCAGUUCAACCAAAAGAAAAAUGGAAAAGAAAAGAGAGAGAGAAAAAAGAGAAAAAAAAAAAGAAAAAAAAGAAAAAAAAAGGAGAAGAACGAAGAAGAGACCUCCAGUAUUGAAGAUGAUGGUACCUAUUUUCUCUUAGUAUAUUAUAUUUUGCAUGAUGCUAACAUUUAUGAACAUGCGAUUCUUUGUUAUUCAUACUUUAUCUGCUAUACUAUUCCAGUUUCGUGAAAUUUUCUUUAAAAAAGUGUAAAAAUGAAUAUUGCUUCGAUGUUAAGUGAUGUAAGUUAAAUUCAAAAGGAACCUAACUUAUUUAUAGGACAAAUGUAUAUUACCUGCUAUUUCCUGCUUGACACACAAAGCUGAUCUUGGUGAAGCUGCAUUGAUGAGGACGAAAUCCCUGCUACUGUUUCAGGAAAACAUUGUCCCAGCUGAAGGAAUCCUUUGAUAUAAGGGAUAUUUCUUGAUGUCUUUGGAUUGCAUGAUUUAGCAUAUUGAUAGAUGAUGAUUGCUAUCUUUUAUGCUAUAAGACUGUAUGGUUUCUCUGCAGGUCGUUUGAAGAGCCAGUUCUAAAUUACUGCAUAUGGAAAAAUGUUAGGUUUUAAUGCAGAGGCAGGGCCAGGGCCGAAGUUGGAGAACGAACUUGACAAGUGCAUCAUAUUUUAUCCAUCAAUUUCUUCAUAUUGUACCUAAACUUUCAUCUUUUAGAAAGUGUUGUUCUCAUCUUUUAAAAAGUGUUGUGCUUUACUUUUAUAUGAAAUGUUUUAGUUCAAAAAGUUAUUAGAAAAAGGUAUCUAUAUGUACAGUUAGUGAAUUAUGAAUGUUAUGCAAUUGAUAGGCUACACAUUUUAACUAGAAAGGAGGACUUUAAUGAGACAUUUGCGUAGUAAGUGAAUUAGCAGAAGUUUAGUAAAUUAGAUCAGAAGUAAAAUUUUUUUUUUUAACCUUCAACAAGGUAACUUUUUAAGUAAGUUAACAUCAACAUGAGUAUACUCAGCUUUUAAGAUUGAAGGCUAAAAUCUUCAUAUUGUACGUUUGUUCCACUUUUUAGUGGUAGUCCAACUCCAUGAUUGUAUUAUUUGAAAGUUGUGCAAAUGACUUCAAGAAUAAGCCUAGUCUGGGAACGAAGCUUCCAAAACUUCCAGUUUUGUUACAUUUCUGAAUUUUAAUUGUCAUCUUCUGCUUGUAAGAAAGUUGCUCCUAUGUCUUUUCCUCCUUAUGUUUCAUCUUUCAUUUUUUCGUUCAAUUUGGAUUGUUCUCUUAGAAAGUUUGAAGAUUUGUAUUUCGAUUGAGAGAGAGCGACAAUAACACGGUUGGAAAUGGAAAAUCAAAUCGCUUUUUCGAUAUGAAUUUCAGACUUUCCAAAUAAUCUUAGAGGAACACCAACCCAAAAAAAAUAAACAAUAUUAAAUUAAAAGGAAAGAAUCCAAACUUGGAGAAGCAAAUUUGGAUAUUUGUGAAGAAAUUUUACAUAAUUAGACAAGUUUGGAGUGAACCCGAAUUGGAGAUAACUCAACGAACAUGUAAUUUUUUUCUAUUUUAUUUUUUUUUUAAUAUAGGGAUGAACAUGAACUAAAUUGAAGAACAGAGGGGAUAUAUAAUCCUAAAGGUAGAUAUUAGCUAGAAAUUUAUUCUAUCGCUAUUAUGGCAGAAACCCUAGCGUAAUUUCCUGCCAUUUCCCCCCUCUUUUCUUAGAAAUAAUUAAACUCUACUUUCCUCCCCCCGAGUUCCUCGUAUCCUUUGUGUAAACGUUACAAUGAAAGAAAAAGAAAAAAAAUAUCAUCUAAACGCCUUCUCGAUCUGCAGAUUGUAAUACUCGAACAGAUCCGAGUCGUUUUCUGCUUCAUCUUACAUGCAAUUUGCCAUAAGAAGUGAUCCCAAGAAGACGAAAGAGAAGAAGCCCGUCACCGGAAUUGCUGAGCUUGCUGUGUCUGAUGGUUCCGAUCCGUAACCGCCGAAGUCGUUUGGUGUGGUGUCAGUUGGCGGUGUAUCGGUAGGCAUCGUGUCGGUUGGUGUUGGGGUUGUUAUGGUUGGUGUUGCCGGCGGCAUUGGAGUUGGAUUCGUUGGUGGAUUGAUUGGUGUUGUUGUGCUGCGUUCGUAUGAAGAUAUGAGAUGGAAUUGUUUUCUUGUUAUUUGGAUUUGGAUUCAUACAUAGGAAGGAAGUAUUUUGUAAUUUACCUUGGUGUUGACCUUGAUGCUGCGUAGUGGCAAUUUCCGUUGCCUGCAAUCGUUAAGAAAAUAGUUGUUUAUAUUUCAUGUUGAGGAAUGGAUAUCUAGUUUAUCAGGAUGCUGGGAUGUUCAUAGUUAAAUUAUUUUUAUUUUUUAAAUGAAAUGAUAGAGGAAGCAUCAAUCAUGACCAAAUACCUACUAUUGUAUUGUUUCUGUUUCUCUUUUCAGUAUUGGAGAUGGAUUAUGCCUAUGUUUUUGUUAUGAUUCUGAAUUUUAAAUAAACUUGAAGUGAUGAUCUUUCUUACUGGGGUCGGUGGUGGUGAGUUGCGCCGUUCCCCCAAACACGCAGCUUGUAGGUGCUGGAUUCUUCUGGUAGUAGUCGUUAAAGGCAUAAGAAGCGUGGUCUUUCAUGGUGUUGGGCUCAAAGCAACUACCUCCCGAUUGAAUCGCCGAGCAAUCCGCGCCUCCAUAGCCACAAGCAUAAUCUAGAGCUACCUGCAAAGCGUUUGGGGAAGCAUUUGGGCUUGCUAUGCACCAACUUCCACCACCUGUGGUUGUUGGGGUUGUCGGGGUUAUGGUUGGUCCGGUAGGGUUUGUUUGUGCAGGCGGAUUAACAAUUGGCGUCUGGGUCGGAGUUGUGCCACCUGGGGUGGUUGGAUUCACAAUGGGUAUUGUGUCCAGUUGAUUGCUAGAUGUUGAAGUUGAAAAGUAGGGUAUUUGUUCCUCUUCAUUUUGUAGAACAUAGUCUUCUUGGUUUGCUUCAAAGAACGGUCUCUGUGCAAUACUUGAACCUGAAGGCACAAAAAGCAAGGGACAACCAAUAGAAGAAACGUAGGAAGAUGAGCCAGACACUAGCAGUAAUAACAGGUACUUGAUGCAUUUAUUAUUAGAAGAUUAGCUUAAUAUCAUUCUGCAGAAAAAAAUCAACGAAUGCUGAUUUACCUAGACUGAGGAAAACCAACAAUGAAAGUAAUGCAAAAUGGAGCUGAAUACAGGUACCCAUCUCUACAAAUUUCUUCCAAUGUUUGGUUCUGGAUCUUCAAAUGAUUUUGAACAAUGAUAGGGACCAACGAUUUGUGAAAAUCAGAGAUGUGUCAAAUGUGUUUGUGUAAAGAAGAAUUACCCUUUUUGGCGGCAAGCAAUAUAUACAAGUAGCUGGACGACAGAAUCUAAGCUUUCUUGGAUCAUCAAGAGUCAGAAAGAAGGGGAGGAGAAUAUGAGGAAACUUGAGAGAGGAGGCAUUGUAUAUUUGAAUAGUUGGGAAGUGCAAGCAAGGGGAGUUUUAAAAAAUGGAAAAAGGUAUAUGGAGAAGGAAAGGCAAAAUAUAUCUGCUAUGAACUCAAAUCUGAUAGGUGUUAGAAUAAGGUAUAAGGAGAAGUACUGAUUCUGCAGUUUUCGUGUGGUGGCAUUUCCCCUCCUCUUUAGAGCUUCUCUUUUUACUGUUUUUAUGGGUACUGAAUCUGAAAGUUAAAGGUAGGUUUAGGCUAUGGUUUAUAGAUUUGUAUGCACAAGUUGCAUCUUCUAGUUUGUGAUCAAGAAUAUUGUCCCCCGGAGAAUCUGUUUAAGUCCCAAAGCUCACUGCUCUGCUACUUAGGAAGCAAAACAGGAAUCAAAACAGGAAUCAAAUCAUUCUCUCUCUUAAUGCAUCAUCUGUAGAAGCAUUUGAUUCCUUCUUUCACAAACAAGCCCACUAAUCCACUCAACUGAUAGAUACUAAUUAUAUUACCAGUAGUGCAGCAGACAAAUGCAAAAAUGCCAAAAUGAUUCGGCUUAGUGGUAUUAGCAUGAUCUCUAUCCCAAGAGGUCGGAAAAUCCCUGCUCUGUUGUCAUAACAAGAAAACAAUUCUCAGCAGACUAUUUGCCAUAUUUGGGGUCUUUUAAUUUUAGUGUAUUUUAUUCAUGUAAACAUUGUAGCUAUUCUGUGACUGUUCAGAACUUUUUUAUUAGUUCAACUAAGUUUGUAAUUUGUGUC